rnacentral:lncRNA from 1 species
CCAACUCAGGGAAAGGCCCAAUCGCCCCAAAAGACUAGUCCAAUGGGGGAAGGGUGGCUCUCCCUUUUAAAGUGGCUUCCUCCUCCCAAGUUAAGCGAGGUGGGAUAAUUCUGAUGCUCACACGGUCACCGUCUGACUACAAUUGGGCCAACUGGGCCAAUUGCGUCUUUGCCAACGGGUAAUAGUGGAGGAUGUCCUCAUCAUUCCCACCUUCUUAAAAUGGGCCCAAGCUCUGAUACCAGAUGAUACACUCAGCCUAGGUGGGGUUGGCCGAGGCCCAACAAUUUAGGGUUGCCCGAAGCCCAAUAGUUCAUUAAGCACACCCAACUCAGGGAAAGGCCCAAUCGCCCCAAAAGACUAGUCCAAUGAGGGAAGGGUGGCUCUCCCUUUUAAAGUGGCUUCCUCCUCCCAAGUUAAGCGAGGUGGGAUAAUUCUGGGGAUCACACGGUCACCGUUCGACUACAAUUGGGCCAAAUGGGCCAAUUGCGUCUUUGCCAACGGGAAAUAGUGGAGGAUGUCCUCAUCAUUCCACCUUCUUAAAAUGGGCCCUUGCUCUAAUACCAGAUGAUACACCUAGCCUAGGUUGGGUUGGCCGAGGCCCAACAAUUUAAGGUUGCCCGGAGCCCAACAGUUCAUUAAGCACACCCAACUCAGAAAAAGGCCCAAUCGCCCCAAAAGACUAGUCCAAUGGGGAAGGGUGGCUCUCCCUUUUAAAGUGGCUUCCUUCCCCCAAGUUAAGCGAGGUGGGAUAAUUCUGAGGCUCACACGGUCACCGUCCGACUACAAUUGGGCCAACUGGGCCAAUUGCGUCUUUGCCAACGAGUAAUAGUGGAGGAUGUCCUCAUC